CGAGUCACCGCAGCCAGACUCCAGGGUGGGGGAGGGAAGAAGCCGGAGCCGCAGCAAGCCACACGUGAAAGAAAAGCACAAGAAGAAAGUUUUACAGUCACUGUUGAUAUGACUAUUAUGCUGAUCCCCCAAAUCAAAAAAAAGGUACCAGUAGCCUAGUCGUCUCUUCUACUUAUGAGGAUAGCAAGUAGUUCUCUGUGAUGGGCAUAUACAGCUUAUCUUUACAUGACAAGAAUACUUAAUUUUGAUUUCAGUAGUCAAUAAAAUAUUUGG